rnacentral:lncRNA from 10 species
UGGGGCUUGCCUUAGAGGGCUGCUCUUGAACUGUCUUUGGCCUGGUUACGUACCCGUGAAUAUGUGCCCAGGAGAUUGUUUCCUGUUGAGAAACGCAGUGUUAAUUUUGAUAAGUUUAUGUAAGAUCAAAUUGUGUAUAUGAACAAAGGUUGGGUCCGCUCUUCAGUGGUAAAAUGAAGGUAGAGAUUAAAUGCAUUGUAUGCUCUCAGAUGUGUACUUAAAAGGGAAUAGCUCAACUUUUAUAUAUGGUAUCGAGAAACCUGAGGUUUUUAUAUCAUUGGUUCACAAACACGUGCCUACACCACCACUCAUGUGAAAAUUCCUUAAGGAGGUAGAUGGAAGUUCGAUUUUGAUAACCAGGAGUUAACACCGAUAACCUUCUGCGCUUUCUAGUUGAGAUACCCUAAAAUCUACCCAAUACCAUUAAAUGGUUUUUUUCCCCAAGAGUUAUCACUCGGAAAAGCUUGUCCAGUUUAAGGGUUUGUUCCAUACAAUAGCAACAAAAUAUACGAUUUCUGAAGCCAGAGUUUGGGAUCCCUGAAGAGGAGAAGGACCACCAAUUUGCAAGGGAGGUUGAUUAGGUUUGUUUUCUGCUUUGGGAACACUGGACUUGGAAUCACACAGCCUCAUUAACCUCAAAAUAUUAUACUGAUUGCUCUGGGGAUCGUAAAUCCUAGGCUGGCCACAAUAGAAGCGAGGAAAGCAAUUAGGAGGCUGUUGCAGUGUUGUGGGCUGGAACAGUGAUUAAGACUUAAAGUCUCUCCAGACCAGCAGCAUCAGCAUUACUUGAAGUUACUAAAAAUGAAAAUUCCCAGGUUCCAUUAUUUGUGUUAAGCUUUCUGGGUGAUGGUGAUAUAUGCUAAAGUGUGAAAAACAACGGAUAAAUGACAUGCUGGAGUGCAAUGGUGGUAAUGGAAACAAAUGUUGGAUUUUAUCUUUGAGGUAGAAUUAAUAGGUGUGGCUGAGGAACAGGAUUUAGCUAACAGUGAAACCCCUAGAUUUUUGGCUUGAGCAACUGUGUAGAUAGUGGUACUAUUAGGAUAGAACACUGAG